GAUGAACGCUGGCGGCGUGCCUAACACAUGCAAGUCGAACGGACAUUUUUUGGAAAGCUCUUCGGAACUGGAAUCUAAAUGUUAGUGGCGGACGGGUGAGUAACGCGUGAGCAAUCUGCCUUUCAGAGGGGGAUAACAGCCGGAAACGGCUGCUAAUACCGCAUAAUGCAUUGGAUUCGCAUGUUUCUGAUGCCAAAGAUUUUAUCGCUGAAAGAUGAGCUCGCGUCUGAUUAGCUAGUUGGCGGGGUAACGGCCCACCAAGGCGACGAUCAGUAGCCAGACUGAGAGGUUGAACGGCCACAUUGGGACUGAGACACGGCCCAGACUCCUACGGGAGGCAGCAGUGGGGAAUAUUGCGCAAUGGGGGCAACCCUGACGCAGCAACGCCGCGUGAUUGAUGAAGGUCUUCGGAUUGUAAAAAUCUUUAAUCAGGGACGAAGAAAAUGACGGUACCUGAAGAAUAAGCUCCGGCUAACUACGUGCCAGCAGCCGCGGUAAUACGUAGGGAGCAAGCGUUAUCCGGAUUUACUGGGUGUAAAGGGCGUGUAGGCGGGCUUGCAAGUUGGAAGUGAAAUCUCGGGGCUUAACCCCGAAACUGCUUUCAAAACUGCGAGUCUUGAGUGAUGGAGAGGCAGGCGGAAUUCCCAGUGUAGCGGUGAAAUGCGUAGAUAUUGGGAGGAACACCAGUGGCGAAGGCGGCCUGCUGGACAUUAACUGACGCUGAGGCGCGAAAGGGUGGGGAGCAAACAGG
rnacentral:rRNA from 1 species